UUUGUUUUGACAGUACGAAAUGCAAGCCCUACCGCUCUAGUAUACUUCCUCCCUUUCAUUUUUACUUGUUCAUUUUAGCAAAUGAUGAGAAGCUUAUUAUUUUCAUCCAAUGCUAUACUUAUCAUUAAAUAACUACAUAAAGUCAUAGUAAUCAAAUUUAAAUUUUCAUAGUCAAACGAAGUUAAAGAUGCAUUAAUCAAAAAUAUUAGGAGAAGAUUGACUCCACAUCCCUUGAAGAUUCAUGGAGAUAUAGAGAUAAAAUAUUUUCAGUUUGACGGCGUUCUUCAUGGCAUCAUUAUUUUCGUGUUAUUAUCUAUUUCUUGAACCAGUUGUUCUCACUUAUUGAGAUUGCAUUUUCUAAACGCCAGUGUAGUUCAAUAAAAUGAUACCAUAACUUAUCAACAAGGGGAUUUUUUUUCCGGACGUCACAUAUUGUUUGUAUGUUAGCCUACUUUUUUUACAUAAAUUGAACUUGUUACUCCUCCAGCACCUGUGCUCAAUACUCAGACUCUUGACAGGUCCAUCCCUUGAAGCCGUACCCUCCCAGUAUGUGUGAGUCUUCUGCUGAUUGACAGAAAUGCUGGCUGGAAAUCGAGGCCAUCCCACCAUAAUGGAUAUCUCCUACCACUACCUACUAGUGGAUCGAUUUAGGGAAAUGCUGAUGUUGCAAUUCCUCCCAUCUCGAUUACGCGAGUAACCUACGAUUGAUAGUUCCAUUUUCCACUGAUGCUGGCCGAUUGGGAUCCCAACAGUCAAACCCCACUGUGUUCAUUCCUCACCUUCCUUCCAAUGAAAUCUAUUCCAUGGAGUCCAGAGACUGGGGAAAUAAAGGAGAGAUCGAUCGACCAACCUGAACAGAUCCUGUUAGAUCGAGUUCUGAUUUCAUGAGUAAUGCUUCCACUUACCUAUAAAGUCUUAAGGUUAAACAAGAAGGAUGAUUGUUUGGACUCAUUACUGUUGUUUUCAAGGAUGCUCUAGCUGGAUCCCUUUUUCUUACUACAAUCCUUCAAAGACCACCUCUGUUCUGUCAUUUUUCUACCAUCCACCACAGGAUGCUUCCAAAUUUCUUUUGACUUUCUCUUUGGUUUUCCUGUGCUUAUUUUCAAGUUCUAUGGUAAAUGAAUAUCGACUUGAUAGGAUCAUUCUUCUGAUUACCAUUUUAUUUUCUCUCUUAAGUGUGCUGUCAGUGAUAUGGGACUAAAAUUUGUAAAAUCUGAGACCAGAUUAACCAUAACACAUGUUGUUGGUAAAUCUCUUGAUGAUCAUGUAAUGGUUUAGCCAAAAGUUAGGGGAUUCUGUAUCACAAAUGUCAUACUUGAUUAGCGUUUUUUACUUUGAGAGUACUUCCAAUCUACUUGAACAACAUGGUCCUUGAUAGAUAUAUGUGGUUGGAAAUAUGUAUGUUCAACUGAAUAAACUGCCUCUUCGGUUUGUCCUCUCUUUGCAAGGCGCUGCUAGACACUAGUAUCUGGAGUCUUGAAGCUUACUAAUUGAUACCAUUGUCAUGAGAGUCUUGGAACGUUGGAUUCUCCAAAUGCAUCGACUGGAAUUGAACACUUCAAUAAGGAACAAAAUCAAAAGAAAUCUGAGUGAGCAGGAAGACAAAUUGAUUGACAAAAAGAUGGCUAAGCUCAGCUGUGAAAAUGAGGAGAUCAGUGGUGAUGAAGAUACUGAAGAGGAGGAAGAUACAGGAACGGGAGAGAUUGAUGUGGGGAGCUCAGGAACUUGAAUUAGAGAAUAAAAACUGCAUCUUGUUUGGAAUUGGAUAACACAUUUUUCAUAGAUGCAUUUUCUUAAUGCUAGUGUAGUUUACUACAAUGAUACCAUUACAUAUUUAAAAGGGAAUUUUUUAGAGGCUACAUAUUAUUUGUAAUGUUAGCCUUUUUUAUGAUCUUUUUCA